GCCAGACUCCUACGGGAGGCAGCAGUGGGGAAUAUUGCACAAUGGGCGCAAGCCUGAUGCAGCCAUGCCGCGUGUAUGAAGAAGGCCUUCGGGUUGUAAAGUACUUUCAGCGGGGAGGAAGGCGAUAAGGUUAAUAACCUUGUUGAUUGACGUUACCCGCAGAAGAAGCACCGGCUAACUCCGUGCCAGCAGCCGCGGUAAUACGGAGGGUGCAAGCGUUAAUCGGAAUUACUGGGCGUAAAGCGCACGCAGGCGGUCUGUCAAGUCGGAUGUGAAAUCCCCGGGCUCAACCUGGGAACUGCAUUCGAAACUGGCAGGCUGGAGUCUUGUAGAGGGGGGUAGAAUUCCAGGUGUAGCGGUGAAAUGCGUAGAGAUCUGGAGGAAUACCGGUGGCGAAGGCGGCCUCCUGGGACGCAACUGACGCUCAUACACGAAAGCGUGGGGAGCAAACAGGAUUAGAUACCCCUGUAA
rnacentral:rRNA from 1 species